rnacentral:lncRNA from 1 species
AUGUGCCUACCAGAAAGUAAGGGACACGUGGAACUUUCUGAAGGCCCUACUUAACUGGUGACAUAAAACUUACAAUGAAGCAGAAAAUUUCAGAAGAAAAAUUUGUUUAAGGACAGGGGGUUUACUCUCAGACAUUUCUGCACAUUUUUCCCCGUCAACAUUUCUGGUUUGCUCUGGGUCUUCAGAUCUCCUGAAGACUCUCAAUGACUGAAUGAAGGCAAUCAAGUUCCAUAUAGAAGAAAUCUUUGUGUUUUUAAAAGCAGG